UAUAAAAAUGACAUUUUAUAUACGCAUACAUACAUGCAAACAGUUCUCUCUCUCUUUUUUUUUAGAUGGUUCUUGCUAUGUUUCUCAUAUUGGCCUUGAACUCCUGGGCUUAAGGGAUCCUUCUGCAUCAGCCACCCAAGUACUGGGACUAUAGGUGCAUGCUACCACAACCCAUUCUAGUUUUAUAUCUUAAUAUUGUUUUCUUCAUAGCAACAUUGAGAACUGUUCCCAUAUCCUUCUGCCAUCAUAUAUUGUCAAUGUCCCCCACAUUUGUCAUAAUCAAUAAACUUACAUUGACACAUCA